GAUCAUGGCUCAGGAUGAACGCUAGCUACAGGCUUAACACAUGCAAGUCGAGGGGCAGCAUGUUGGUUGCUUGCAACCAACGAUGGCGACCGGCGCACUGGUGAGUAACGCGUAUCCAACCUUCCGCAUACUCGGGAAUAGCCUUUCGAAAGAAAGAUUAAUGCCCGAUGGUUUCCCGAAUCCGCAUGAGAGCGGGAAUAAAGAUUCAUCGGUAUGCGAUGGGGAUGCCG
rnacentral:rRNA from 1 species